rnacentral:rRNA from 1 species
AUUGAACGCUGGCGGCAUGCCUUACACAUGCAAGUCGAACGGUAACGCGGGGCAACCUGGCGACGAGUGGCGAACGGGUGAGUAAUGCAUCGGAACGUGCCCAGUUGUGGGGGAUAACUGCUCGAAAGAGCAGCUAAUACCGCAUACGACCUGAGGGUGAAAGCGGGGGAUCGGAAGACCUCGCGCAAUUGUAGCGGCAGAUGUCGGAUUAGCUAGUUGGUGGGGUAAAGGCCCACCAAGGGGACGAUCCGUAGCUGGUCUGAGAGGACGGCCAGCCACACUGGGACUGAGACACGGCCCAGACUCCUACGGGAGGCAGCAGUGGGGAAUUUUGGACAAUGGACGCAAGUCUGAUCCAGCCAUGCCGCGUGCGGGAAGAAGGCCUUCGGGUUGUAAACCGCUUUUGUCAGGGAAGAAAUCUUCUGGGUUAAUACCUCGGGAGGAUGACGGUACCUGAAGAAUAAGCACCGGCUAACUACGUGCCAGCCGCCGCGGUAAUAC